GAUGAACGCUAGCUACAGGCUUAACACAUGCAAGUCGAGGGGCAGCACUAGGUAGCAAUACUGAGGUGGCGACCGGCGCACGGGUGCGUAACGCGUAUCCAACCUUCCCGUUACUCUUGGAUAGCCUUCCGAAAGGGAGAUUAAUACAAGAUGGUAUUCAAAUUCCGCAUGUUAUUUGAAUUAAAGAUUUAUCGGUAACGGAUGGGGAUGCGUGACAUUAGGUAGAUGGCGGGGUAACGGCCCACCAUGCCUACGAUGUCUAGGGGUUCUGAGAGGAAGGUCCCCCANACUGGAACUGAGACACGGUCCAGACUCCUACGGGAGGCAGCAGUGAGGAAUAUUGGUCAAUGGUCGGAAGACUGAACCAGCCAAGUAGCGUGAAGGAUGAAGGUCCUAUGGAUUGUAAACUUCUUUUAUACGGGAAUAAAACCACCUACGUGUAGGUGCUUGUAUGUACCGUAUGAAUAAGCAUCGGCUAACUCCGUG
rnacentral:rRNA from 1 species